rnacentral:rRNA from 2 species
GGUGGCAAACCAACUGGCGGUGAUAUGGUUAGGUGCGCCAGGCGUUAUCCCGGGAUUAUUGGGGGGAAAAACGCGCGUAAGCGGGUUUCAUAAAGUGUGAAUGGAAAAGGGCCAAAGAACCAGCGCAAAAAGGGUGCAUUGGAAAAUGGGGAAACUUGGAGGGGAGAAGAAGGAGAGUGGAAAUUCCCAGGUGUAGGCGGUGAAAUGCGCAGCAGAUAUGGAGGGAACACCAGUGGGCGAAGGCGGCUCUUUGGUCCUGUUACUGAAGCUGAUGUGCGGAAAGCGUGGGGAUCAAACAGGAAUUAGAAUACCCUGGUAGUCCACCCCGUAAACGAUGAGUGCUAAAUGUUAGGGGGUUUCCCCCCCUUAGUGCUGCAGCUAACGCAUUAAGCACUCCGCCUGGGGAGUACGACCGCAAGGGUGAAACUCAAAAGGAAUUGACGGGGACCCGCACAGCGGUGGAGCAUGUGGUUUAAUUCGAAGCAACGCGAAGAACCUUACCAAAUCUUGACAUCCUUUGACCGCUCUAGAGAUAGAGUCUUCCCCUUCGGGGGACAAAGUGACAGGUGGUGCAUGGUUGUCGUCAGCUCGUGUCGUGAGAUGUUGGGUUAAGUCCCGCAACGAGCGCAACCCUUAAGCUUAGUUGCCAUCAUUAAGUUGGGCACUCUAGGUUGACUGCCGGUGACAAACCGGAGGAAGGUGGGGAUGACGUCAAAUCAUCAUGCCCCUUAUGAUUUGGGCUACACACGUGCUACAAUGGAUAAUACAAAGGGCAGCGAAUCCGCGAGGCCAAGCAAAUCCCAUAAAAUUAUUCUCAGUUCGGAUUGUAGUCUGCAACUCGACUACAUGAAGCUGGAAUCGCUAGUAAUCGUAGAUUAGCUUGCUACGGUGAAUACGUUCCCGGGUCUUGUACACAAUGUCGUUCCCACGAGAGUUUGUAACACCCCAAAACCGGUGGAGUAACCUUUUAGGAGCUAGCCCGUCCAAAGGUGAAAACAAAUAUUUUCCUC